GAUUUAUAAGAGCCACAGAUCCUCGGCACUGGUUUGCUUCAAGACUUCCUCAGCAGGACAUGUAACCCACAAAAUGUAGCCAGUAUCCAGGGCUGCUCACAGCUUUGCUUCUUGAGAGAUUUAACGACGAUGAUGGUCUUAAAAUGGUUUUACCACAAGAAGGAAUACACCUGUUGUCUUCCCCUGAAGCCUCACACUCACGCCAGUCUGAGGAGAUUACAACUAUUUGAUAAAUCCAGAGGGUUUACCACAGAUCAUGGGGAGACAAUGCAGAUUUGAUAAAAGAAGAGCCUGUAUGUGGCUCAACGGAGGGGCUGAUGGACUCCAGCCCACACUGAAUGUGUUCUCACCUGAUGAAAGGUCUUGAGACGGCCAGGAUGGUCCGGAUGAACCACGUCGGCUCCCAUAUGUAUGUCGACUAAAGCUGAAAUGAAACCCGAGGACAUCUCGUUGCCAUUGUUGAAGAACUCCAGAGAGUCGGUUUCAUCAGGAGUCUCCAUGUCGUCUACAUUGAUGUCCAGGUCGUCGGGCGUCU